GACCAUCUUUAUGUCUAGGCAUAUUUCUCCUGAGGGUCACAGUUCUAGAAGAAAUCCGAAGGGUGUGAUCUAUAGUUCAUGCUGCGCCUGCUGUGGUGUGGACCCUGAGUUCAAGCUUGGACGACAAGCAGAUGCUGACUUCACACUUCUGAUAAGUAAAUUCUUUGUGGAUGAGACAAAAGUUAAGGAAGGCGACCAACCACAGAUGAGACAAAAGUUAAGGAAGGCGACCAACCACAGCAGUGGACAUUUUCAAAAAGGUAAAUGAAGAAUUCAGAGCCCGGACCGAAGUUUAAGCCAAGAUGCAAAAAAAGAAAAAAAAGAUCAAAGAGCCUGGAACAGAAUCUUGGCAACAGUGAACCCAGGAGCAUGGACCCUCAGGUUGCCCUUAAAUUUCAGAACCUCUUCCAUCGCAUUCACAGGCUGAUGGAGGGCCAUACCCACCACCACCUCUACCCGCGCCAUCUC